UCUCUCUCUCUCUCUCUCUCUCUCUCUCUCUCACACACACACACACACACACACACACAGAGAGAGAGAGAGAGAGAGAGAGAGAGAGA